rnacentral:rRNA from 1 species
AGAUUGAACGCUGGCGGCAUGCCUUACACAUGCAAGUCGAACGGCAGCACGGGAGCAAUCCUGGUGGCGAGUGGCGAACGGGUGAGUAAUAUAUCGGAACGUGCCCAGUCGUGGGGGAUAACGUAGAGAAAUUUACGCUAAUACCGCAUACGAUCUAAGGAUGAAAGCGGGGGACCGUAAGGCCUCGGCGCGAUUGGAGCGGCUGAUAUCAGAUUAGGUUGUUGGUGAGGUAAAAGCUCACCAAGCCGACGAUCUGUAGCUGGUUUGAGAGAACGACCAGCCACACUGGGACUGAGACACGGCCCAGACUCCGACGGGAGCAGCAGGUGGGAAUUUGGACAAGUGGGACGAAAGCCGUGAUCCAGCAAUGCCGCGUG